AGGGUUUGAUUAUGGCUCAGGACGAACGCUGGCGGCGUGCCUAAUACAUGCAAGUAGAACGCUGAAGAGAGGAGCUUGCUCUUCUUGGAUGAGUUGCGAACGGGUGAGUAACGCGUAGGUAACCUGCCUUGUAGCGGGGGAUAACUAUUGGAAACGAUAGCUAAUACCGCAUAACAAUGGAUGACACAUGUCAUUUAUUUGAAAGGGGCAAUUGCUCCACUACAAGAUGGACCUGCGUUGUAUUAGCUAGUAGGUGAGGUAACGGCUCACCUAGGCGACGAUACAUAGCCGACCUGAGAGGGUGAUCGGCCACACUGGGACUGAGACACGGCCCAG
rnacentral:rRNA from 1 species